rnacentral:snoRNA from 1 species
CUGUCCUCGUUUGUAUAAUGGUUAUAGUAAGAGAAGAUAAAAAAUGUAAUGAAUAAAAGUGUACCAUGUCUUGGUUUUUGUAAUCACACUAGCAGAGUACACACGCAGAAAAGUAACUGCACUGGAUUAUAAUGACUGGGAUGGACCUCUUUCUUAAUAUCCAGUGUCCUGUCUUAAGAUUUGGUGCCGGCAGU